GUCACAGAGUGGCGGUGUGUGAGCAAGUGUGUGCAUGUGUGUGUAUGGUCUGCAGUCCAAAAAGAGAUCUGUGGGCAAGCGGCUUCUCAAAACUCUCUCUCUCUCUUAGUCUUUCUCUUCUCUUUCUCUCUCACUGCAGACUGAUGAAGAAUGCAUGUCUCAGUGUUCUUCAUAAGUGAAAGGCAACGGUCUGGAUCAGUAUUAACGCUUGGUUGGAACUGGUGAAUGUCCAGGGCGCACCUUGUGGUCAUCUCUGAGCAGCGCUUUCGAGGACUGUCCAACCUGAGAAUGCUGAAUUUUGGGUCAAUCUCAGGUUCGUCAGCCCAUGAAAAGCUGUCUCCAUCAAAUCGUAGCGUGAAGAGGCAGCUAACAAGGCAGCUUAAAGCAUGAUGGCUUUUUAGAGCAAAACUUAAGCUUGAGAAGCAUGAACAAUGGAUUUCAGAAGGGUUACACUAUUUUGUGGCUUAUGAGAUACACAUAAUUCAUUUAGCAUAUACAAAGCUUGUUGUUUUUUGUUUUGUUCUUGGUUUAACAUUGAGCAUUAAUAGAGCAUUUAAAUGUAAAUUUAUACAAUUGAUUGAUAUAAAUGAUGGUAUAAAUGUAGAAAGCUGUUCUUUAUCUCUUUAUAAUAAAGAGCACAUUUUCUUUGGGUGUUAACAUCUCUUAUACAUAUCAUGCCUUUGUUGCUGUCACUUGCUAUUUUAAUGUUUAACCUACUGAUUAUGCUGUAACUUCCUUCAUAUUACUCAUAUCCAUUAUGCUUAUGUUCUACAUGUUAAUUAAUGUACUGCUGAUGAAAGGUUUUUGUGGCUAAAAUAUUAAAAUAUUACAAUUCAAUUAUUGUGAGAUAACUUUGUAGGCAGUUGUAAUGAUGUACAACUGGCUAUGUGACGGUUGACUGUAUUAACAGUGUUUUAUAUCCCUUUCACAUGGUACAAUAUCAGUAAAAUAAAGCAUGAAAAUAUCAAAAAA